CAAGUACUCCGUAGAAGAUACUACUCAUAUCUGAAAGCAUAUAUUGCCAUGGAGAGAAGCAAGAUGAUUAUGCUCGUGAUGAUCAUUCUUCCAUGUCUCAUAACAUUUUCUCAGGCUCAAAGAUCUGAUGAUAUGAAUAGCAGCAAGAUCCAAAUUUGCUUGUGCCAAAAGAAUCCUCCACCAUGCCCAAAUGGUUUGUGCUUCUGUUGUGCAUUGGAGCAAGAUAAAUGCUUUAGAACCAGCCAAGAAUGCAUUUGUGGUUCUGCUUGCCCUCCUUUAGAAGCAACCUCCCCUCAUCCCCUCCCUUUGCCUUAAGACACCAUGUCAGCUGAUUGUUGCCAUGAACAUCUUGGAAUAAAAAAAGUUGUAAUCGCUGCAUGCUCA